AUUAGUAUUAGUAUAUAUUAGAUUUAGUAUAUAGAGAAGAUUAGCAUGGCCCCUGUGCAAGGAUGACACACAAAUUCGUGAAGCCUUUCAUAUUUUU
rnacentral:snRNA from 1 species